rnacentral:rRNA from 1 species
UACGUAGGGGGCAAGCGUUGUCCGGAAUCAUUGGGCGUAAAGCGCGUGUAGGCGGCUCGGUAAGUCUGCUGUGAAAGUCCAGGGCUCAACCCUGGAAAGCCGGUGGAUACUGUCGGGCUAGAGUCCGGAAGAGGCGAGUGGAAUUCCUGGUGUAGCGGUGGAAUGCGCAGAUAUCAGGAGGAACACCGAUGGCGAAGGCAGCUCGCUGGGACGGUACUGACGCUGAGGCGCGAAAGCGUGGGGAGCGAACAGG